UACAGAGGUCUCAAGCGUUGUUCGGAUUCAUUGGGCGUAAAGGGUGCGUAGGCGGCGUGGUAAGUCGGGUGUGAAAUCUCGGAGCUUAACUCCGAAACUGCAUUCGAUACUGCCGUGCUUGAGGACUGGAGAGGAGACUGGAAUUCCUGGUGUAGCGGUGAAAUGCGCAGAUAUCAGGAGGAACACCGGUGGCGAAGGCGGGUCUCUGGGCCGAUACUGACGCUGAGGAGCGAAAGCGUGGGGAGCGAACAGG
rnacentral:rRNA from 1 species